rnacentral:rRNA from 1 species
UGUGUAGGCGGUUUGGUAAGUCUGGUGUGAAAUCUCCCGGCUCAACUGGGAGGGUGCGCCGGAAACUGCCGGACUCGAGUGCGGGAGAGGAGAGUGGAAUUCCUGGUGUAGCGGUGAAAUGCGUAGAUAUCAGGAGGAACACCGGUGGUGUAGACGGCUCUCUGGACCGUAACUGACGCUGAAACACGAAAGCGUGGGUAGCAAACAGGAUUAGAUACCCUGGUAGUCCACGCCCUAAACGAUGCAUAUUUGGUGUGGGUCAUUCAGUUGAUCCGUGCCGGAGCUAACGCGUUAAAUAUGCCGCCGUGGGGAGUACAGUCGCAAGGCUAGAA